UACGGGGGGGGCAAGCGUUGUUCGGAAUUACUGGGCGUAAAGGGCUCGUAGGUGGCCAACUAAGUCGGACGUGAAAUCCCUCGGCUUAACCGGGGAACUGCGUCCGAUACUGGUUGGCUUGAGUUUGGGAGAGGGAUGCGGAAUUCCAGGUGUAGCGGUGAAAUGCGUAGAUAUCGGGAGGAACACCUGUGGCGAAGGCGGCCCCCUGGUUGGAUACUGACGCUGAGACGCGAAAGCGUGGGGAGCAAACAGG
rnacentral:rRNA from 1 species